rnacentral:rRNA from 1 species
AUACACGCUGGCGGCGCACAUAAGACAUGCAAGUUGCACGGACUUAAUCGAAAUAUUUAUAUUUUGAAGCGGUUAGUGGCGGACUGGUGAGUAACGCGUAAGGAACCUGCCUAUUAGAGGGGAAUAACAGUGAGAAAUCAUUGCUAAUACCGCAUAUGCCAUAGAUAUCACAUGAUAACAGUGGGAAAGGAGCAAUCCGCUAAUAGAUGGCCUUGCGUCUGAUUAGAUAGUUGGUGGGGUAACGGCCUACCAAGUCGACGAUCAGUAGCCGGACUGAGAGGUUGAACGGCCACAUUGGGACUGAGAUACGGCCCAGACUCCUACGGGAGGCAGCAGUCGGGAAUAUUGCGCAAUGGAGGAAACUCUGACGCAGUGACGCCGCGUAUAGGAAGAAGGUUUUCGGAUUGUAAACUAUUGUCGUUAGGGAAGAGAAAGGACAGUACCUAAGGAGGAAGCUCCGGCUAACUACGUG